rnacentral:rRNA from 1 species
CCUAUGGGAGGCAGCAGUGAGGAAUAUUGGUCAAUGGACGCGAGUCUGAACCAGCCAAGUAGCGUGAAGGAUGACUGCCCUAUGGGUUGUAAACUUCUUUUAUAUGGGAAUAAAGUGGUCCACGUGUGGCCUUUUGUAUGUACCAUAUGAAUAAGGAUCGGCUAACUCCGUGCCAGCAGCCGCGGUAAUACGGAGGAUCCGAGCGUUAUCCGGAUUUAUUGGGUUUAAAGGGAGCGUAGGCCGGAGAUUAAGCGUGUUGUGAAAUGUAGACGCUCAACGUCUGCACUGCAGCGCGAACUGGUUUCCUUGAGUACGCACAAAGUGGGCGGAAUUCGUGGUGUAGCGGUGAAAUGCUUAGAUAUCACGAAGAACUCCGAUUGCGAAGGCAGCUCACUGGAGUGUAACUGACGCUGAUGCUCGAAAGUGUGGGUAUCAAACAGGAUUAGAUACCCUCGUAGUCC